rnacentral:tRNA from 1 species
CCUUCGAUAGCUCAGUUGGUAGAGCGGUGGACUGUAGAGACAUAGGUCGCUGGUUCAAAUCCGGCUCGAAGGA